rnacentral:rRNA from 1 species
AGCAGCCGCCACGGUAAUACGGAGGGUGCAAGCGUUAAUCGGAAUUACUGGGCGUAAAGCGCACGCAGGCGGUCUGACAAGUCAGAUGUGAAAUCCCCGGGCUUAACCUGGGAACUGCAUUUGAAACUGUCAGGCUGGAGUCUUGUAGAGGGGGGUGGAAUUCCAGGUGUAGCGGUGAAAUGCGUAGAGAUCUGGAGGAAUACCGGUGGCGAAGGCGGCCCCCUGGACAAAGACUGACGCUCAGGUGCGAAAGCGUGGGGAGCAAACAGGAUUAGAUACCCGGGUAGUCCCUGUCUCUUAUAC